ACAAACUUGGUCAUUUAGAGGAAGUAAAAGUCGUAACAAGGUUUCCGUAGGUGAACCUGCGGAAGGAUCAUUAACGAGUUAGGGUCUUCUUAGGCCCGACCUCCCAACCCUUUGUCAAACUUACCACUUGUUGCUUCGGCGGGCCCGUCUUUCCCUCGGGGGAGACCGCCGGAGGACUGUCCUAACGUCCUCUGGCCCGCGCCCGCCGAUAGCCUAAUUUAUCAACACUCUGAAUACAAACAUGUUAUAAUCUGAGUACCUAUUCAAAAAUAAAGCAAAAACUUUCAACAACGGAUCUCUUGGUUCUGGCAUCGAUGAAGAACGCAGC
rnacentral:misc_RNA from 1 species